UAGGGAAUCUUCCACAAUGGGCGAAAGACCUCGAUGGAGCAACGCCGCGUGUGUGAUGAAGGCUUUCGGGUCGUAAAGCACUGUUGUAUGGGAAGAACAGCUAGAAUAGGAAAUGAUUUUAGUUUGACGGUGCCAUACCAGAAAGGGACGGCUAAAUACGUGCCAG
rnacentral:rRNA from 1 species